UACGGGGGGGGCAAGCGUUGUUCGGAAUUACUGGGCGUAAAGGGCUCGUAGGCGGCCAACUAAGUCAGACGUGAAAUCCCUCGGCUUAACCGGGGAACUGCGUCUGAUACUGGAUGGCUUGAGUUUGGGAGAGGGAUGCGGAAUUCCAGGUGUAGCGGUGAAAUGCGUAGAUAUCUGGAGGAACACCGGUGGCGAAGGCGGCAUCCUGGACCAACACUGAUGCUGAUGAGCGAAAGCCAGGGGAGCAAACGGG
rnacentral:rRNA from 1 species